UACGAAGGGGGCUAGCGUUGUUCGGAAUUACUGGGCGUAAAGCGCACGUAGGCGGACAUUUAAGUCAGGGGUGAAAUCCCGGGGCUCAACCCCGGAACUGCCUUUGAUACUGGGUGUCUAGAGUAUGGAAGAGGUGAGUGGAAUUCCGAGUGUAGAGGUGAAAUUCGUAGAUAUUCGGAGGAACACCAGUGGCGAAGGCGGCUCACUGGUCCAUUACUGACGCUGAGGUGCGAAAGCGUGGGGAGCGAACAGG
rnacentral:rRNA from 1 species